ACCACAUAGGAAUGAUAUAUGUUUGUGGAUGUCACUGGUGACAACAUCCAAAUCUGGGCUGGGGUAUCUCCCUCAGCCAAUAAACCAGGGUGCACACUUUAGUAAAAUAACUGUAGAAAAAAGACUACACAAAGAUGCCCAUGAAAAUUAGCAAAGGUUGGAAUGAGCAUGUUAAAUGAUGCAGCAGACAAGGAGGAUGCACUGCUUAGGGAAGCUGAAAGUUACUUCUGUGCUUAAGGAGUUCUGCAGUUCGGAUGAAGCACAGAUUCCCACUUCUUAAGAUGAAAACCCAGAGAAGAUGAAAACUUGCAACUGCCAUUAAGAGAAGGUCUAAAAUUUUAAUUGCUGUCUGAACACAAAGGAGCUUUGACAUCCUGUGGUUUCUUGAAGCACUCCUGCAGUUAUAGACACAACUUUAACUACCCCACCCUCUCCCUCUUCCCCAUCCACCACUGACUGAUGCAGUUGGGAGAUUCAGUAACUGCAGAGCAAAAUCUUGCUUACUUUCAGCUCUCCUGCCCCAGCAAAUGCUCAGCUCUUCUGGGAAGAUGGACCUAUGUCAUAAACACACUGCACCUUGAAAAGAAUGAAACCUUCCCUUCAAACACACACAUGUGACCAGGUUUUUGGAACUGCCUGAUGUUGCCAGUUUUCAUCUGUUUUCCACAAAGAAGGGAAAGAACCUUGGAUUCUCCUCCUCAUGAUCUUUGAAGUCUUAAUUCCAAAGAACAGAGAUGCCAGGACUUGUCAGUGACAUGACUAACAUUUUUAUGAGAACUGGCAAGACAGUUCAUUUCUCCUACAUCUUACAGAAACUUUGGAAUUAUUUUGUCUGAAACACUUGGGGAAA